rnacentral:rRNA from 1 species
UACGUAGGUGGCAAGCGUUGUCCGGAUUUACUGGGCGUAAAGAGCGCGCAGGCGGUCGUGCCAGUCGCGUGUGAAAGCCCCCGGCUCAACUGGGGAGGGUCACGCGAUACUGCUCGACUCGAAGGCAGGAGAGGGAAGUGGAAUUCCCGGUGUAGUGGUGAAAUGCGUAGAUAUCGGGAGGAACACCAGUGGCGAAGGCGACUUCCUGGCCUGUUCUUGACGCUGAGGCGCGAAAGCUAGGGUAGCAAACGGG